CCUUGGUCAGGUUGAAGUUCAGGUAACACUGAAUGGAGGACCGAACCGACUUACGUUGAAAAGUGAGCGGAUGAACUGAGGGUAGCGGAGAAAUUCCAAUCGAACCUGGAGAUAGCUGGUUCUCUCCGAAAUAGCUUUAGGGCUAGCCUCAAGUGAUGAUUAUUGGAGGUAGAGCACUGUUUGGACGAGGGGCCCCUCUCGGGUUACCGAAUUCAGACAAACUCCGAAUGCCAAUUAAUUUAACUUGGGAGUCAGAACAUGGGUGAUAAGGUCCGUGUUCGAAAGGGAAACAGCCCAGACCACCAGCUAAGGUCCCAAAAUAUAUGUUAAGUGGAAAAGGAUGUGGCGUUGCCCAGACAACUAGGAUGUUGGCUUAGAAGCAGCCAUCAUUUAAAGAGUGCGUAAUAGCUCACUAGUCGAGUGACACUGCGCCGAAAAUGUACCGGGGCUAAACAUAUUACCGAAGCUGUGGAUUGUCCUUUGGACAAUGGUAGGAGAGCGUUCUAAGGGCGUUGAAGCAUGAUCGUAAGGACAUGUGGAGCGCUUAGAAGUGAGAAUGCCGGUGUGAGUAGCGAAAGACGGGUGAGAAUCCCGUCCACCGAUUGACUAAGGUUUCCAGAGGAAGGCUCGUCCGCUCUGGGUUAGUCGGGUCCUAAGCUGAGGCCGACAGGCGUAGGCGAUGGAUAACAGGUUGAUAUUCCUGUACCACCUAUA
rnacentral:rRNA from 1 species